rnacentral:rRNA from 1 species
UACAGAGACUGCAAGCGUUACUCGGAAUUACUGGGCGUAAAGCGUGCGUAGGUGGUUUGUUAAGUCUGAUGUGAAAGCCCUGGGCUCAACCUGGGAAUUGCAUUGGAUACUGGCAGGCUAGAGUGCGGUAGAGGAUGGCGGAAUUCCCGGUGUAGCAGUGAAAUGCGUAGAGAUCGGGAGGAACAUCUGUGGCGAAGGCGGCCAUCUGGACCAGCACUGACACUGAGGCACGAAAGCGUGGGGAGCAAACAGG